CACAGCAACGGCAUCGCUGCACACCGUACACGCCUCGAACCUUUACAAAGGCAUCAUCGAGCGCUUGAGCCUAUCGAUCGCUAUUCGCCCUCCCUCCCUCCCUUGCUCCACACUCGACUUCCUACGUUGCCAUGCUUCAUCGUGUCCCCACUCUGUGGGCGCUGCGUCAACGCGCGGGCGUCACUGCCAUGGCCGUCUUCGGCGGUCUCUCUGCCAACACGGGUCAGUUUGCGUGCCAGGCAUCCCCUCUGCAGCAGGCACGCUGGGCCUCCUCGGAUGCAGCGGCACCCACAAGCAACAACGCGCAGCGCAACAACGGUAGAAAUAGCAAUGUGCAGAGUCAGCGAGGGCGGCGCGACGCGAUGCCACCGGCCUUCGACAUUGUGCACUGGAACGACGAGGACAUCACUGCAGGCCACCUGCUGCGCGUGGUGCACCGCGACGGCUUCAUCGUUCUGGACUACCACCGGCAGCGUUGUGUCACCGCCGAACUUCGUGAAGAUGGCAGUCGCGCGCCGAACCCGAACCGCGCCGAGAGGGUGGUGACAGUGACUCUGCCGCCCGUGUACGUGGCGCGCUUCCUCGGGGUGCUGGAGGGGCGCAUGAGCAAGCUGGAGGUGCAGUCGCGCUUCACGAAUGCCUCUUUUUCGCCGAAUGCAGCGAAGGGAAAGCACCACUACACUCUGCGCUGCACGUCCAUGAAGCCGACCACUGGCCAGAUCCAGACGGUGGACGGCGCCGACGUACAUGAGGAAACUGUGGAGUGGACAGUGGAGUUCGACGCGGCGGAGUCGCUGAUGCUGCACCGCUUUCUCACGCAGGCCCUUCAUUAUAACACUGGUUUUUCCCGAAAAGUGUAGAAGAGCGAAGAGGGAAGCGAAUGAGGAGUGGCGGUUACAAGAGGCGCCGGAUUCUAGCGGUGGCACUGGAAGGAACCAAAUAAAAGUGCCUUUGUCGUUGGUUCUGUAGGUAUCCAUGCGUGCGUACUUGCGUAGUUGCAGCGAAGGUGUUCAUGGAUGAGGCUUUGUGAGAGGGGGGCGCGUCUGUUCUAUUUUGUGUAAAAGUGCGGUCUAUUAAGCGGGCGUCGUGCUGUGCUGCUUCCCUCCCCACCUCCCGCGUGUGUGUCUGCCAGAGAGCGAGUGCGCGGCCCCCACCAACCCCCCACCACCACCACUAACCUCCUCUCUCCACCUGAGAGGGCAGCGUGCUCCUGUGUAUACGCAAGUCAACAUGGGCGCGAUGUUCCACAUCAGUGAACGCGGACGCAUGCAGCAGAGGUGAGCGCGGCGGUUGCACAC
rnacentral:misc_RNA from 1 species